UAACAGUGAUGGAGGUCAGAUAUAACAGUGAUGGAGGUCAGAUAUAACAGUGAUGGAGGUCAGAUAUAACAGUGAUGGAGGUCAGAUAUAACAGUGAUGGAGGUCAGAUAUAACAGUGAUGGAGGUCAGAUAUAACCGUGAUGGAGGUCAGAUAUAACAGUGGACCCUGGUCAGAUAUAACAGUGAUGGAGGUCAGAUAUAACAGUGAUGGAGGUCAGAUAUAACAGUGAUGGAGGUCAGAUAUAACAGUGAUGGAGGUCAGAUAUAACAGUGAUGGAGGUCAGAUAUAACAGUGGACCCUGGUCAGAUAUACCAGUGGACCCUGGUCAGAUAUAACAGUGAUGGAGGUCAGAUAUAACCGUGAUGGAGGUCAGAUAUAACAGUGAUGGAGGUCAGAUAUAACAGUGAUGGAGGUCAGAUAUAACAGUGAUGGAGGUCAGAUAUAACAGUGAUGGAGGUCAGAUAUAACAGUGAUGGAGGUCAGAUAUAACAGUGAUGGAGGUCAGAUAUAACAGUGAUGGAGGUCAGAUAUAACCGUGAUGGAGGUCAGAUAUAACCGUGAUGGAGGUCAGAUAUAACAGUGAUGGAGGUCAGAUAUAACAGUGAUGGAGGUCAGAUAUAACAGUGAUGGAGGUCAGAUAUAACAGUGAUGGAGGUCAGAUAUAACAGUGGACCCUGGUCAGAUAUAACAGUGAUGGAGGUCAGAUAUAACAGUGAUGGAGGUCAGAUAUAACAGUGAUGGAGGUCAGAUAUAACAGUGAUGGAGGUCAGAUAUAACAGUGAUGGAGGUCAGAUAUAACAGUGAUGGAGGUCAGAUAUAACAGUGAUGGAGGUCAGAUAUAACAGUGAUGGAGGUCAGAUAUAACAGUGAUGGAGGUCAGAUAUAACAGUGAUGGAGGUCAGAUAUAACAGUGGACCCUGGUCAGAUAUACCAGUGGACCCUGGUCAGAUAUAACAGUGAUGGAGGUCAGAUAUAACCGUGAUGGAGGUCAGAUAUAACAGUGAUGGAGGUCAGAUAUAACAGUGAUGGAGGUCAGAUAUAACAGUGAUGGAGGUCAGAUAUAACCGUGAUGGAGGUCAGAUAUAACAGUGAUGGAGGUCAGCGAUAAAUCAGCUUCACGUUGAUUUUUUGAUGAACAGCAGAUAGCAUCUCAACUUGAAUCGGGAUCUGCUCAUUUUUAAAGGAUUUCACAAGAUGGAUUGAGAGGCAGAAUAAAAACGAGGAAAUUAAAUGCACACACACACACACACACACUCAGUCACUCGUUUUUUCACACACACUCAGCUGUUCUCUCAGAUAAAUCCAAACAUUAUGUUUCGUUAACGUGGGACGCUGUAAGUUCCAGGAAGGUUGAUAGGAAAGAACACGCUCUGCUCUCUGUUCCCCAGGACAUAAAUCUCUACUUCUGCAACUUUACAUCAACAUGACUUGGAAAUAUUGAGAUAAACAAAGGGAGAAAAUAGAGAAGGAGAGAAACAAAGGGAGAAAAUAGAGGAGAAGAAGGAGAGAAACAAAGGGAGAAAAUAGAGGAGAAGAAGGAGAGAAACAAAGGGAGAAAAUAGAGAAGAAGAAGGAGAGAAA